rfam:Caenorhabditis brenneri strain PB2801 C_brenneri-6.0.1_Cont12.42, whole genome shotgun sequence.
GCAUAGGUUUCUUUAGAAACCAUAAACAACAACUUUCCAAAACCCG